UUUGUGGAGGGUUUGAUUCUGGCUCAGGAUGAACGCUGGCGGCGUGCUUAACACAUGCAAGUCGAACGGGAUCCAUCAAGCUUGCUUGAUGGUGAGAGUGGCGAACGGGUGAGUAAUGCGUGACUAACCUGCCUCAUACACCGGAAUAGCUCCUGGAAACGGGUGGUAAUGCCGGAUGCUCCAACAUUUCACAUGUUUUGUUGGGAAAGCGUUAGCGGUAUGAGAUGGGGUCGCGUCCUAUCAGCUUGUUGGUGAGGUAAUGGCUCACCAAGGCUUCGACGGGUAGCCGGCCUGAGAGGGCGACCGGCCACAUUGGGACUGAGAUACGGCCCAGACUCCUACGGGAGGCAGCAGUGGGGAAUAUUGCACAAUGGGCGCAAGCCUGAUGCAGCGACGCCGCGUGGGGGAUGAAGGCCUUCGGGUUGUAAACUCCUUUCGCUAGGGACGAAGCCUUUUUUAAGGUGACGGUACCUGGAUAAGAAGCACCGGCUAACUACGUGCCAGCAGCCGCGGUAAUACGUAGGGUGCAAGCGUUAUCCGGAAUUAUUGGGCGUAAAGAGCUCGUAGGCGGUUUGUCACGCCUGGUGUGAAAGUCCAUCGCUUAACGGUGGAUCUGCGCCGGGUACGGGCAGGCUAGAGUGCAGUAGGGGAGAUUGGAAUUCCCGGUGUAACGGUGGAAUGUGUAGAUAUCGGGAAGAACACCAAUGGCGAAGGCAGAUCUCUGGGCUGUUACUGACGCUGAGGAGCGAAAGCAUGGGGAGCGAACAGGAUUAGAUACCCUGGUAGUCCAUGCCGUAAACGGUGGGCGCUAGGU
rnacentral:rRNA from 1 species